ACAUGCUCCUGAGACCGGUCUUCCUCUCGUGUUGUGACCCGUGCAUGCUGCUGAUGGAGAGUCACAUGAGGAGUCGGCUCCCUCUAUCAAUCAAUGGAAGUCACAAGCAAGUCUUCUAAUCCGGUGUCAGCUAAUCAUAGACUGUACGGUUAUUUUUACAGGAUGGGGUGCCAGGUGGUGGCGGCAACACGGUGGCUCUGCUUGGGUGUAAGUGAGAGGCAAAAGGGUGAGGAUACGCUUCGCAACACCUCCUUUCAUCUCGGCCCGGCUUGACAUCGGAACACAACGGCGCCCGUGGAGGAUGUACCGCCGCGCUCGCACGUCGUCGCAAAGUGAAGAGUGAUGAGGACUGCAGAUUGAUGUUGCGGAUGGAAGUGACAAACCACACUUGUCUCGUGCUUCAACAAGCAACCUUGUCUUUAAGUGAGCUUGCUUUCUGUUGUGAAACGCUCAACUUCUUGCCCACAAAGCAUGUUGAAUUGAUUUACUCGUCCUCAUCCUUACAUUUUUUUAAAAAUGUUGUAGCAAAAUAUAUGAACACAAACGGCGCAGCAGCACAUGUAGACAGACAAUAGAUCAAUACUCAGUAAUAUAUUCCGUAUCCUCGACAAAAUAAUAACAAAUUAGCUUCCUGAGUAUCUUUAUGCUUACAUGUAUGAAUCCCCGUUUGCUUGUCUGCGUCUACGUAGCCAAGAAAAGGUGCAUAGA